rnacentral:rRNA from 1 species
ACUUAAGAAAAGAAUUUUAGUCCGACCUAAAAUUAACCUAGUGUAUUUAAACAUAACCUUAACUUUAGAGCAAUUCAAAUAAGGUACAGCUUAUUUGAAAUAGGACACAACCUCCCUUAAUGGGUAACGGUCUAUUCCUCCCCAUAAGUUGGCUUAAAAGCAGCCACCUUCAGAAAAGCGUCAAAGCUUAAUUUACGAUUUCCCACCAAAGAUCCCCAGAACCCUUCACCAAUACUAAGUAAUUCUAUACACUUAUAGAAUUUUUUAUGUUAAAACUAGUAACAAGAAGCUAUACUUCUCUUUUAUGUGCCUGUAAGCCCUAAGGACCCCCCCCCACUGGCAUUUAACAGCCAUGGCACUAAAUAACAACCAUCGCAAGAAAACCUUAGUUAAAUUUCUGUCAACCUAACACAAGAACAUACCAAGAAAGAUUAAAAGAAAAAGAAGGAACUCGGCAAACAUGGAUCCCGCCUGUUUACCAAAAACAUCGCCUCUUGGCCCCCCCAUAAGAGGUUCAGCCUGCCCAGUGAUUAGUUCAACGGCCGCGGUAUCCUGACCGUGCGAAGGUAGCAUAAUCACUUGUUCCUUAAAUAGGGACUAGUAUGAAAGGCACCACGAGAAUCCAACUGUCUCCUUUUUCUAAUCAGUGAAACUAAUCCCCCUGUGAAAAAGCAGGGAUAAUAACGCAAGACGAGAAGACCCUAUGGAGCUUUAAACUAAGUAACACCCACUUUUCUUUUUUAAACUUCCUGAAGACCAACUUAAAAGUAGGCUGGUUCCAAGUUUUUGGUUGGGGCGACCGCGGAGCAAAAUAUAUCCUCCGCAAUGACAAGCACUGCCUAAAUUAAAAGACACAACUUUAAAAAUCAGUACACUGACAUAAUUGACCCAAUAUUUUGAUCAACGAACCAAGUUACCCUAGGGAUAACAGCGCAAUCCGCUUUAAGAGUACAUAUCGACAAGCAGGUUUACGACCUCGAUGUUGGAUCAGGGCAUCCUAGUGGUGCAGCCGCUACUAAUGGUUCGUUUGUUCAACGAUUAAAGCCCU